GACGAACGCUGGCGGCGUGCUUGACACAUGCAAGUCGAACGGAAAGGCCCUGCUUUUGUGGGGUGCUCGAGUGGCGAACGGGCGAGUAACACGUGAGUAACCUGCCCUUGACUUUGGGAUAACUUCAGGAAACUGGGGCUAAUACCGGAUAGGAGCUCCUGCUGCAUGGUGGGGGUUGGAAAGUUUCGGCGGUUGGGGAUGGACUCGCGGCUUAUCAGCUUGUUGGUGGGGUAGUGGCUUACCAAGGCUUUGACGGGUAGCCGGCCUGAGAGGGUGACCGGCCACAUUGGGACUGAGAUACGGCCCAGACUCCUACGGGAGGCAGCAGUGGGGAAUAUUGCACAAUGGGCGGAAGCCUGAUGCAGCAACGCCGCGUGCGGGAUGACGGCCUUCGGGUUGUAAACCGCUUUCGCCUGUGACGAAGCGUGAGUGACGGUAAUGGGUAAAGAAGCACCGGCUAACUACGUG
rnacentral:rRNA from 1 species